AGCUUGCUCCCUGGGUGACGAGCGGCGGACGGGUGAGUAAUGUCUGGGAAACUGCCUGAUGGAGGGGGAUAACUACUGGAAACGGUAGCUAAUACCGCAUAACGUCGCAAGACCAAAGAGGGGGACCUUCGGGCCUCUUGCCAUCAGAUGUGCCCAGAUGGGAUUAGCUAGUAGGUGGGGUAAUGGCUCACCUAGGCGACGAUCCCUAGCUGGUCUGAGAGGAUGACCAGCCACACUGGAACUGAGACACGGUCCAGACUCCUACGGGAGGCAGCAGUGGGGAAUAUUGCACAAUGGGCGCAAGCCUGAUGCAGCCAUGCCGCGUGUGUGAAGAAGGCCUUCGGGUUGUAAAGCACUUUCAGCGAGGAGGAAGGUGGUGAACUUAAUACGUUCAUCAAUUGACGUUACUCGCAGAAGAAGCACCGGCUAACUCCGUGCCAGCAGCCGCGGUAAUACGGAGGGUGCAAGCGUUAAUCGGAAUUACUGGGCGUAAAGCGCACGCAGGCGGUUUGUUAAGUCAGAUGUGAAAUCCCCGGGCUCAACCUGGGAACUGCAUUUGAAACUGGCAAGCUAGAGUCUCGUAGAGGGGGGUAGAAUUCCAGGUGUAGCGGUGAAAUGCGUAGAGAUCUGGAGGAAUACCGGUGGCGAAGGCGGCCCCCUGGACGAAGACUGACGCUCAGGUGCGAAAGCGU
rnacentral:rRNA from 1 species